CCUACGGGUGGCAGCAGUGGGGGAUAUUGCACAAUGGGGGAAACCCUGAUGCAGCGACGCCGCGUGUGGGAAGACGGUCCUCUGGAUUGUAAACCACUGUCCCCAGGGACGAAGAUGACGGUACCUGGGGAGGAAGCUCCGGCUAACUACGUGCCAGCAGCCGCGGUAAUACGUAGGGAGCGAGCGUUGUCCGGAAUUACUGGGUGUAAAGGGAGCGUAGGCGGGGAUGCAAGUUGGGUGUCAAAACUACCGGCUCAACUGGUAGUCGCACUCAAAACUGCAGCUCUUGAGUGAAGUGGAGGCAGGCGGAAGUCCGAGGUGAGCGGUGGAAUGCGGAGAUAUUAGGAGGGACAGCAGUGGCGAAGGUGGGCUGCUGGGCUUUUACUGACGCUGAGGCUCGAAAGUGGGGGGAGCAAACAGGAGUAGAUACCCGAGUAGUC
rnacentral:rRNA from 1 species